rnacentral:rRNA from 1 species
AGCUCGAUGAGUAGGGCGGGACACGUGGUAUCCUGUCUGAAUAUGGGGGGACCAUCCUCCAAGGCUAAAUACUCCUGACUGACCGAUAGUGAACCAGUACCGUGAGGGAAAGGCGAAAAGAACCCCGGCGAGGGGAGUGAAAAAGAACCUGAAACCGUGUACGUACAAGCAGUGGGAGCACAGGUUUACCUGUGUGACUGCGUACCUUUUGUAUAAUGGGUCAGCGACUUAUAUUCUGUAGCAAGGUUAACCGAAUAGGGGAGCCGGAGGGAAACCGAGUCUUAAUUGGGCGUUAAGUUGCAGGGUAUAGACCCGAAACCCGGUGAUCUAGCCAUGGGCAGGUUGAAGGUUGGGUAACACUAACUGGAGGACCGAACCGACUAAUGUUGAAAAAUUAGCGGAUGACCUGUGGCUGGGGGUGAAAGGCCAAUCAAACCGGGAGAUAGCUGGUUCUCCCCGAAAGCUAUUUAGGUAGCGCCUCGUGAAUUCAUCUCCGGGGGUAGAGCACUGUUUCGGCUAGGGGGCCAUCCCGGCUUACCAACCCGAUGCAAACUGCGAAUACCGGAGAAUGUUAUCACGGGAGACACACGGCGGGUGCUAACGUCCGUCGUGAAGAGGGAAACAACCCAGACCGCCAGCUAAGGUCCCAAAGUCAUGGUUAAGUGGGAAACGAUGUGGGAAGGCCCAGACAGCCAGGAUGUUGGCUUAGAAGCAGCCAUCAUUUAAAGAAAGCGUAAUAGCUCACUGGUCGAGUCGGCCUGCGCGGAAGAUGUAACGGGGCUAAACCAUGCACCGAAGCUGCGGCAGCGACGCUUAUGCGUUGUUGGGUAGGGGAGCGUUCUGUAAGCCUGUGAAGGUGUGUCGUGAGGCAUGCUGGAGGUAUCAGAAGUGCGAAUGCUGACAUAAGUAACGAUAAAGCGGGUGAAAAGCCCGCUCGCCGGAAGACCAAGGGUUCCUGUCCAACGUUAAUCGGGGCAGGGUGAGUCGACCCCUAAGGCGAGGCCGAAAGGCGUAGUCGAUGGGAAACGGGUUAAUAUUCCCGUACUUGGUGUUACUGCGAAGGGGGGACGGAGAAGGCUAUGUUGGCCGGGCGACGGUUGUCCCGGUUUAAGCGUGUAGGUGUGUGUUCCAGGUAAAUCCGGUUCACUUUAACACUGAGGCGUGAUGACGAGGCACUACGGUGCUGAAGUAACAAAUGCCCUGCUUCCAGGAAAAGCCUCUAAGCAUCAGGUAACAUCAAAUCGUACCCCAAACCGACACAGGUGGUCAGGUAGAGAAUACCAAGGCGCUUGAGAGAACUCGGGUGAAGGAACUAGGCAAAAUGGUGCCGUAACUUCGGGAGAAGGCACGCUGACACGUAGGUGAAGUGAUUUACUCAUGGAGCUGAAGUCAGUCGAAGAUACCAGCUGGCUGCAACUGUUUAUUAAAAACACAGCACUGUGCAAACACGAAAGUGGACGUAUACGGUGUGACGCCUGCCCGGUGCCGGAAGGUUAAUUGAUGGGGUCAGCGCAAGCGAAGCUCCUGAUCGAAGCCCCGGUAAACGGCGGCCGUAACUAUAACGGUCCUAAGGUAGCGAAAUUCCUUGUCGGGUAAGUUCCGACCUGCACGAAUGGCGUAAUGAUGGCCAGGCUGUCUCCACCCGAGACUCAGUGAAAUUGAACUCGCUGUGAAGAUGCAGUGUACCCGCGGCAAGACGGAAAGACCCCGUGAACCUUUACUAUAGCUUGACACUGAACAUUGAGCCUUGAUGUGUAGGAUAGGUGGGAGGCUUUGAAGUGUGGACGCCAGUCUGCAUGGAGCCGACCUUGAAAUACCACCCUUUAAUGUUUGAUGUUCUAACGUGGACCCGUGAUCCGGGUUGCGGACAGUGUCUGGUGGGUAGUUUGACUGGGGCGGUCUCCUCCUAAAGAGUAACGGAGGAGCACGAAGGUUGGCUAAUCCUGGUCGGACAUCAGGAGGUUAGUGCAAUGGCAUAAGCCAGCUUGACUGCGAGCGUGACGGCGCGAGCAGGUGCGAAAGCAGGUCAUAGUGAUCCGGUGGUUCUGAAUGGAAGGGCCAUCGCUCAACGGAUAAAAGGUACUCCGGGGAUAACAGGCUGAUACCGCCCAAGAGUUCAUAUCGACGGCGGUGUUUGGCACCUCGAUGUCGGCUCAUCACAUCCUGGGGCUGAAGUAGGUCCCAAGGGUAUGGCUGUUCGCCAUUUAAAGUGGUACGCGAGCUGGGUUUAGAACGUCGUGAGACAGUUCGGUCCCUAUCUGCCGUGGGCGCUGGAGAACUGAGGGGGGCUGCUCCUAGUACGAGAGGACCGGAGUGGACGCAUCACUGGUGUUCGGGUUGUCAUGCCAAUGGCACUGCCCGGUAGCUAAAUGCGGAAGAGAUAAGUGCUGAAAGCAUCUAAGCACGAAACUUGCCCCGAG